rnacentral:rRNA from 1 species
UACAGGGGGGGGCAAGCGUUGUUCGGAAUUACUGGGCGUAAAGGGCUCGUAGGCGGCCAACUAAGUCCGACGUGAAAUCCCCAAGCUUAACUUGGGAACUGCGUCGGAUACUGGAUGGCUUGAAUUCGGGAGAGGGAUGCAGAAUUCCAGGUGUAGCGGUGAAAUGCGUAGAUAUCAGGAGGAACACCGGUGGCGAAGGCGGGUCUCUGGGCCGA